UUGUCUCUUGGAGUUCCUUUGAACGCUUCAUGCAUGAGACUAUCUAUUUGGUCUAAAAUCCAUUAGAAUAGAUAGUCCUUUCUUCAAUGAAGUGUUUGGGGGAACUCUUAGGUUCAA
rnacentral:pre_miRNA from 1 species